UGUGCCAGCGCUCUAUUUUCUUGUCCUUGUUUUUCAGGCAAUCAAACCAGUGCUUCAGCCGUUCACCUUUGGCAUUAAUUCCUAACACUACUCCACCUUAGCACAGAGAGAGAGAGAGACAGUCAGCUCAUUCCACAGAGGGGCGUGGAGCAGGAGUCACACCCACGACUGGCACAGGUGACCCACAGCAGACAGCAAGUGAAGAGUUGUGUGCAUCCUAGCUAAGGAGCAGGGUAUGGCCCCUCCUGUGCAAAUGCUUUCAUCUGGUUUCCAGUCCACACUCUGCUUGCUGCUACAGGUCAUGUUUUCUAGACCUUUAAUCAUUUUUCUUGCUCUUCUCUGGACUUUCACCAAUUUGUC